rnacentral:rRNA from 1 species
UCGAGCGCGCCCCUUCGGGGUGAGCGGCGGACGGGUGAGUAACGCGUGGGAAUAUGCCCUUCUCUAAGGAAUAGCCUCUGGAAACGGAGAGUAAUACCUUAUACGCCCUUUGGGGGAAAGAUUUAUCGGAGAAGGAUUAGCCCGCGUUAGAUUAGGUAGUUGGUGGGGUAAUGGCCUACCAAGCCUACGAUCUAUAGCUGGUUUGAGAGGAUGAUCAGCCACACUGGGACUGAGACACGGCCCAGACUCCUACGGGAGGCAGCAGUAGGGAAUCUUAGACAAUGGGGGCAACCCUGAUCUAGCCAUGCCGCGUGUGUGAUGAAGGCCCUAGGGUCGUAAAGCACUUUCGCCAGAGAUGAUAAUGACAGUAUCUGGUAAAGAAACCCCGGCUAACUCCGUGCCAGCAGCCGCGGUAAUACGGAGGGGGUUAGCGUUGUUCGGAAUUACUGGGCGUAAAGCGCACGUAGGCGGAUUAGUAAGUUAGAGGUGAAAUCCCAGGGCUCAACCCUGGAACUGCCUUUAAUACUGCUAGUCUUGAGUUCGAGAGAGGUAAGUGGAAUUCCGAGUGUAGAGGUGAAAUUCGUAGAUAUUCGGAGGAACACCAGUGGCGAAGGCGGCUUACUGGCUCGAUACUGACGCUGAGGUGCGAAAGUGUGGGGAGCAAACAGGAUUAGAU